rnacentral:tRNA from 1 species
GGCUCCGUAGCUUGGAGGAAAGAAGCGCCCGCUUAGUGAAUUGGGACUCGUGGGUUCGAUUCCUACCGGAGCCC